AUAAUACUCCAUAGAUUAGAGACACUGGAAUGUUCUUUAGUCGAAAGUUCUGGCGCCUUAGGAUGGAUCUGCGGUCGAUUAGGUUGUUGUUGGGGUAACGGCCCAACAAGCCUGUAAUCGAUACGGGUUGUGGGAGCAAGAGCCCGGAGAUGGAAUCUGAGACACGAUUCCAGGCCCUACGGGGCGCAGCAGGCGCGAAAACUUUACAAUGCAGGAAACUGUGAUAAGGGAACUCCGAGUGCCCGUAUACGCGGGCUGUCCAGGUGUUUAAAAAUCAUCUGAAGAAAGGGCCGGGCAAGACCGGUGCCAGCCGCCGCGGUAAUACCGGCGGCUCGAGUGGUGGCCACUAUUAUUGGGCUUAAAGCGUCCGUAGCUGGACCGAUAAGUCUCCUGGGAAAUCCGCCGGCUCAACCGGCGGGCGUCUAAGGGAUACUGUUAGUCUAGGGACCGGGAGAGGUGAGAGGUACUCCGGGGGUAGGAGUGAAAUCCUGUAAUCCCCGGGGGACCACCGAUGGCGAAGGCAUCUCACCAGAACGGCUCCGACAGUGAGGGACGAAAGCUGGGGGAGCGAACCGGAUUAGAUACCCGGGUAGUCCCAGCCGUAAACUAUGCGCGUUAGGUGU
rnacentral:rRNA from 1 species